rnacentral:rRNA from 1 species
UGAGGAAUAUUGGUCAAUGGGCGCAAGCCUGAACCAGCCAUCCCGCGUGCAGGAAGACGGCCCUAUGGGUUGUAAACUGCUUUUCCAGGGGGAGAAUUUUUCUGUCGUGACAGGACUUGACGGUACCCUGGGAAUAAGCAUCGGCUAACUCCGUGCCAGCAGCCGCGGUAAUACGGAGGAUGCAAGCGUUAUCCGGAUUUAUUGGGUUUAAAGGGUGCGUAGGCGGAUAGAUAAGUCAGUGGUGAAAACCUGCAGCUUAACUGUAGACUGGCCGUUGAUACUGUCAGUCUUGAGUAUGGAGAAGGUAGGCGGAAUGUGUAAUGUAGCGGUGAAAUGCUUAGAUAUUACACAGAACACCGAUUGCGAAGGCAGCUUGCUGGGCCAGUACUGACGCUGAUGCACGAAAGCGUGGGGAUCGAACA